rnacentral:rRNA from 1 species
GAGGGGCCCGCGCCUGAUUAGCUAGUUGGUGGGGUAAUGGCCUACCAAGGCAACGAUCAGUAGCCGGCCUGAGAGGGUGACCGGCCACACUGGGACUGAGACACGGCCCAGACUCCUACGGGAGGCAGCAGUGGGGAAUAUUGCACAAUGGGCGCAAGCCUGAUGCAGCAACGCCGCGUGGGGGAUGAAGGCCUUCGGGUUGUAAACCUCUUUUAGCAGGGAAGAAGCCUUUGGGUGACGGUACCUGCAGAAAAAGCACCGGCUAACUACGUGCCAGCAGCCGCGGUAAUACGUAGGGUGCGAGCGUUGUCCGGAAUUAUUGGGCGUAAAGAGCUCGUAGGCGGUCUGUCGCGUCUGCUGUGAAAACCCGAGGCUCAACCUCGGGCCUACAGUGGGUACGGGCAGACUAGAGUGCGGUAGGGGAGAAUGGAACUCCUGGUGUAGCGGUGGAAUGCGCAGAUAUCAGGAAGAACACCGAUGGCGAAGGCAGUUCUCUGGGCCGUAACUGACGCUGAGGAGCGAAAGCGUGGGGAGCGAACAGGAUUAGAUACCCUGGUAGUCCACGCCGUAAACGUUGGGCGCUAGAUGU